UUGGUGCAUGGGAAGAGGGCCUCAUCUCCAGUUGAGGCAGGAACCUCAGGGUUCCUCUGAUUUCAGACUCCGAUCGCAGGGUCCCUGCAGACUUGGGUCAGGAGAGUCAGGCCUGGUCUUGGGUUGAGGCAUGGAACUCCGCUAGCCUCUCGAGGUGUUCACGGGGUGAGAGGCCACUUGUCGAGCUGUAUUUGGAACCUGGGGGUUUUUCCGGACGAUGCACGGGCGAGUCACUGCCCCUUCGUGUUGACUUCAUUCACAGGGUGGAGUUCGAAGAGGUGUCCGGGCAUCGGGUUCUUAUCAAGAGGGGACCGGGAAAUCGGGGUCCUUCGGAAUGUGAAACCACCCACGAGGCCACGUCUGGAAUGUCGUCGUGAGACCGGCCUCAUCCUGAGGUGCGACCGGAAAGUCGGGAACCCCUUCCAGACAAAGCAGGGGAUGCGACCCUCCUGUCCAGAUCAGGAGGUUAGAAGAGGCUC
ensembl:lncRNA